rfam:Ovis aries breed Texel chromosome 2, whole genome shotgun sequence.
UCCCUGGUGGCUCAGAUGGUAAAGAAUCUGCCUGCAAUGCAGGAGACCCAGGUUCAAUCCCUGGGUGGGGAA